AAAGAGAAUGGGCCACAGGAAUGCACCCAGAACAGAGCCAAAUUGUUCAAGCUGUUUCCUUGUCGGUUCAAUUUCUCCGGAGAUAUUUGGAGGAUCGAGUUUUAUCGGCACAGUGGCCCAUACAGAAAGGUGACAUUUGAGAGAACAAUUGCUAGGUUGUUUGGCCACAUUUGCUUCUAUGAAUGAGGCUUAAGAAAAGGUGUCUUUGGAUUGCUACUAAUAGUCAUCUUCAU
rnacentral:lncRNA from 1 species